CAAUAGCGUAUAUUAAAGUUGUUGCAGUUAAAAAGCUCGUAGUUGGAUUUCUGGUGGGAGCGAUCGGUCUGGCGCUUAGCGCGAGUACUUGCAUCGUCUCCGGCCAUCCUUGGGGAGAGUCUGUCUGGCAUGAAGUUGUCGGGCAGAGGAUCCUCAUCGUUUACUGUGAAAAAAUUAGAGUGUUCAAAGCAGGCUUAUGCCGUUGAAUAUAUUAGCAUGGAAUAAUAAGAUAGGACUUUGGUACUAUUUUGUUGGUUUGCGCACCAAAGUAAUGAUUAAUAGGGACAGUUGGGGGUAUUCGUAUUCCGUUGUCAGAGGUGAAAUUCUUGGAUUUACGGAAGACGAACUACUGCGAAAGCAUUUACCAAGGAUGUUUUCAUUAA
rnacentral:rRNA from 1 species